rnacentral:snRNA from 1 species
GUGUAUGAGGGCCAUCUGCCUGCCACAUCUGUCAACCCCAUUGAUCACCAGGCUUGAGUGGCUGAUCAGGCUCUCUAGGCGGCUUCCCCUUCCUCCCUCACCACUUCAUGAGUCUCUCUGCAUCCAGGCUGAAAGAGGACAACCUUCCCCUAGUAGGGCACAAGUUGCGGGUCAAGGGUUUCAGAGCAGGGACAGCUGUCUCCUAGAACCUCCACGCAGGCUCUCAGAACUUUAUUUAAUAUUAAUCUGAGGACAGAUUCCAAGAAAUGUUAAUAGAAGUUACAUGGUUUUUUUUU